rnacentral:rRNA from 1 species
CCUAUUAGUGGGGGACAACAUUUCGAAAGGAAUGCUAAUACCGCAUACGUCCUACGGGAGAAAGCAGGGGAUCUUCGGACCUUGCGCUAAUAGAUGAGCCUAAGUCGGAUUAGCUAGUUGGUGGGGUAAAGGCCUACCAAGGCGACGAUCUGUAGCGGGUCUGAGAGGAUGAUCCGCCACACUGGGACUGAGACACGGCCCAGACUCCUACGGGAGGCAGCAGUGGGGAAUAUUGGACAAUGGGCGCAAGCCUGAUCCAGCCAUGCCGCGUGUGUGAAGAAGGCCUUAUGGUUGUAAAGCACUUUAAGCGAGGAGGAGGCUACUUUAGUUAAUACCUAGAGAUAGUGGACGUUACUCGCAGAAUAAGCACCGGCUAACUCUGUGCCAGCAGCCGCGGUAAUACAGAGGGUGCAAGCGUUAAUCGGAUUUACUGGGCGUAAAGCGCGCGUAGGCGGCUAAUUAAGUCAAAUGUGAAAUCCCCGAGCUUAACUUGGGAAUUGCAUUCGAUACUGGUUAGCUAGAGUGUGGGAGAGGAUGGUAGAAUUCCAGGUGUAGCGGUGAAAUGCGUAGAGAUCUGGAGGAAUACCGAUGGCGAAGGCAGCCAUCUGGCCUAACACUGACGCUGAGGUGCGAAAGCAUGGGGGAGCAAACAGGAUUAGAUACCCUGGUAGUCCAUGCCGUAAACGAUGUCUACUAGCCGUUGGGGCCUUUGAGGCUUUAGUGGCGCAGCUAACGCGAUAAGUAGACCG